rnacentral:lncRNA from 1 species
UAUUCUAUCGACUAGAGACUCUUCACCUUGGAGACCAGCUGCGGAUAUUGGUACGGCCUGUUGAGAAGUUUGCGUGUCCCCACCAUAAAUUUUCAAGGUCCGAGGAGAAAAUAUCGACACAACAGUAUAUGUCAUGCUCUUCUAGCCCAUCUACCAUAUCUCUCUGCGAAAGACUUCCAUGGUAGUACGGCUAUAAAACAGAAAAGAAAACUCUUCCGAUAUCUCUCGACGGCUUCUUUAUGGUCGUUCCUGUUGCCAGGAUGAGCACGAGGCCCAUAUUUAAUAACAAACGGAUACUCAACAGGUUACGGAAUUGGAACCGUAUUCCCUUUCGUUCAAAAUUAUUCAAGUGUUUCAAAAAAAUCAUUAAAGAUUUGACAAUAUAUGCUUAUUGAUUUUUUACUUGAAAAUUUUCGGCUUUCGCCUUGAACUUAGGACCGACUAACUCGUGAUCAACCACUGUUCACACGAAACCCUUCUCCACUUCAGUCCUCCAAGGUCUCAUUCGAUUAUUUGC